GUUAAGUCAGGCACGAGCGAGACCCACGCCAACAGUUGCCAGCUCGGUCCUCCGGGGAUGGUGGGGACACUGUUGGGACCGCCUCUGCUAAAGAGGAGGAAGGAAUGGGCAACGGUAGGUCAGCAUGCCCCGAAUUAUCUGGGCUACACGCGGGCUACAAUGGGUGGGACAAUGGGUAUCGACACCGAAAGGUGAAGGCAAUCUCCUAAACCCAUCCGUAGUUCGAAUUGUGGGCUGCAACUCGCCCACAUGAAGCUGGAAUCUGUAGUAAUCGUGUCUCAAAUGGCACGGUGAAUAUGUCCCUGCUCCUU
rnacentral:rRNA from 1 species